rnacentral:rRNA from 1 species
GAAGCGGGAAGAGCUCAAAUUUAUAAUCUGGCACCUUCGGUGUCCGAGUUGUAAUCUCUAGAAGUGUUUUCCGCGUUGGACCGCACACAAGUCUGUUGGAAUACAGCGGCAUAGUGGUGAAACCCCCGUAUAUGGUGCGGACGCCCAGCGCUUUGUGAUACACUUUCAAUGAGUCGAGUUGUUUGGGAAUGCAGCUCAAAUUGGGUGGUAAAUUCCAUCUAAAGCUAAAUAUUGGCGAGAGACCGAUAGCGAACAAGUACCGUGAGGGAAAGAUGAAAAGCACUUUGGAAAGAGAGUUAACAGUACGUGAAAUUGUUGGAAGGGAAACGCUUGAAGUCAGACUUGCUUGCCGGAGCUUGCUUCGGUUUGCAGGCCAGCAUCAGUUUUCCGGGGUGGAUAAUGACGGUUUGAAGGUAGCAGUCUCGGCUGUGUUAUAGCUUUCCGUUGGAUACAUCCUGGGGGACUGAGGAACGCAGCGUGCUUUUUGCGAAAGACUCGUCUUUUUCACGCUUAGGAUGCUGGUGGAAUGGCUUUAAACGACCCGUCUUGA